AUGAGCAGCUCGAUGAGCAUGGUGGAGGCAAGGCUGCCGCCGGGGUUCCGGUUCCACCCGAGGGACCACGAGCUCGUGCUGGACUACCUCUGCCACAAGCUCUCCGGUGGUGGAGGCCGUGGCGGCGGUGGCGGUGGAGUGGACAUGGUCGACGUCGACCUCAACAAGUGCGAGCCAUGGGAGCUUCCAGACGCGGCGUGCGUGGGCGGCAGGGAGUGGUACUUCUUCAGCCGGCACGACCGCAAGUACGCGACGGGGCAGCGCACCAACCGCGCCACGCACACCGGCUACUGGAAGGCCACGGGCAAGGACCGCGUCAUCACCGGCGACGGCGCGGCGGCGGUCGUCGGGAUGCGCAAGACGCUCGUCUUCUACCUGGGGAGAGCCCCCCGGGGAACCAAGACCGAGUGGGUCAUGCACGAGUUCCGCGUCGAGGGCCGCCCGCCGCGCUCGGUCCACCGCCAGCUCGCCGCCCCCCACGACGGCCCGCUGCCGUCUCUCCUCGAGGAGGACUGGGUGUUGUGCAGGGUGUUCUACAAAAGCACAACCGCCUCACCAACACCGGCCUCCGACGAGUCGUCAGGUUCCCUGAGCAGCGACCUUGGCGUGGCGCCGGUGCUGCUGCCCGUAGCACCUAUCAAUGUCGUUGGCCGGACGCCGAUGGCCGAGAUCACGGACGGCUACUACGGGCAGCAAGAGUACCCCACUGGCAUCCUUCCGGUUGUGCACCACUGGCCCGCGGCGCCAUUGCCGUUCACGAGCUUCAGGGACAUGCUAGGUGACAUGGUGGAAGGGAGCCGUGGUGACCCGAAGCCAGAGUGGAGCGUUGACGACGGCUACACGCGUCAGAGCGUGCCACAGACUUGGAACCCGUUCUGA
rnacentral:rRNA from 1 species